rnacentral:misc_RNA from 1 species
CAGCAUAACACUUUCCCAUCCUCUUCAAGAAACGGAAGCAGAGAGUUAGGUAUCAAAAUCGCAAUAAAUUGUUAAAAUGAAUUUAUAAGAGUAGGAAAGAGAUCUUAUGAAAUGUAAUGAUUGAAAAUCCGUGGACAAAUAAUCUACUCCAUCCCAACCAGGAGUAUGCCUUGGCUAGAACGUGUAUAAACUAUUGUGACUACUUUUGUAGUCGUACAUACACCUACAAUGUCUCAGUUGGUCCUAAUUCCAGAGCACAAGCCAGCAUAUACCUAUAGAAACCAGAAAUUGGUCCACUCAACCCUUCUAACCUAUGUCCCUCAUUGGCCAUUAUUAUACUUUCCCAGCACUGCUGCUUCUUAAUCCUUCUACUCAUCAAAUUACAGUUUAAGAAACUCAUUCAGACUUUCACUUAUCCCAACUAAUAUACUAUCGCAACCAAGAUACUAACACUCAGAAAGUUCACUGCCCCCCAAAUGUUCUUUUCACAUGCACACAAAAUAAUAAUAACAUUUAAGUAAAGGGAAAAUGUUUGUGGGUUUAGCAUAGAUAUGGAAGGUUUGUUGAAUAUGGUUCACUUACCUGUGACUAUAGCAGCGUGACGAG